rnacentral:tRNA from 1 species
GCGGGCGUAACUCAGUUGGUAGAGUGUCAGCUUCCCAAGCUGAGGGUCGCGGGUUCGAGUCCCGUCGCCCGCUCCA